CUUGACCGAGCCGAGCAGCAGCGGCUCCGCGCCGCCCCGGUCCUGCCCGUACGUGGCGAGCAGCGCCUGUGCCUC
rnacentral:antisense_RNA from 1 species